rnacentral:misc_RNA from 1 species
UCCGGCUUACACCGGCGGUCUCCUGUAAGUGCCCAUCUUUCAUGCUGGUAACACAGGACGAGGGUUGCGCUCGUUGGCGGACUUAACCGUACACCUCACGGCACGAGCUGACGACAGCCAUGCAACAAGUGUCUUCACGUCCCCUUGUGGGGGAGGGCCCUAUUUCUAGGGCUUACGAUCGAUGUCAAGUCUGGGUAAGGUUCUUCGGUUAGUAUCGAAUUAAUCCACAUGCUCCACCGCUUGUGCGGGUCCCCGUCAAUUCCUUUGAGUUUUAACCUUGCGGCCGUAGUCCCCAGGCGGUGAACUUAAUGCGUUAGCUGCGGCACAGCCGGCCUUCGCCGGCUACACUUAGUGUCCAUCGUUUAGGGCGUGGACUAC